CGCUUAUUUAAUAAAUUAAUGCGUUGUAAAGGUUUAUUUAAAGGGUACAAAAAGUAUGUAAUAAAAAAUUGUAAUAAGAAAAAAUUGUGUUAUACAAAAUGAACAAAAAUAAAAAAAAAUUGUAAAAAAUGUUUUAUAAAAAGAAAAUCAUGGGAAAAAAAAAAAAAAUUAAGUGUGCAAAGUCAUUUACUGGGGUAUUACUGUUGUAACAAUAUAUUUAUUAAUUAAAUAAAUUAAUGGAUAAGUUUAAAUAAAUAUAUAUAUGUAUAUACAAUCAUAUAUGAGUUUAACAAAUUAAUUUUAUUUUGUGGUUAUAAAAAAAAUGAAAAAAAAAAUAGCUACUACAACAUAAAGAGAUGUUGUUUACGCGUCUAUAAAUGUUGUUAACCUUUGACAAAAAAAAAAAAAAUAUAUAUAUAUAUAUAUAUAUAUGUAUAUAUGUAUAUAUAUAUAUACAUACAUUUACAACUAAAUAAUUUUAUUUUUAUCGGAAUUAAGUAAAAAAAUAAAGUAUAAUUAAAAUAUUAAUUUACUUUUUAAUAAACCCAAAAUAAUUAUGGGGAAUGCUUGUUGUGCAGGAAGAGAUUUACUUUAUAAAAAUAAACUACAUGAGUUUGGUGUAGAGGGGUCAAAGACAAUAAGGAAUUUAUUAUCAUUUACAAGUAAUGAUAUUAUAAGAUUCGAUAAGGCAUAUGAUGAAAAUAAUGUUCAAGAAUUUGUGAAAUUAUGUUCUUCUAGCUGCGAGAUUGAAAAGUUAGAGGACAGAAUGCAUCCCUGGGCUGCCGACCCCAAAACAAUUGGAGCAUUAGCAGCAACACAAUUAGCAAUAUUGGCUAGUAAAGAAAAUGAGCCACAUUAUAAAGAUGCAAUACGUGAAGCUAAUGGAAUACCUGUCUUUAUUAAUUUGUUAAAAUCACAUGAAUUGGAUAGAGUACAUGCCGCAGUUGUUGCUUUAUCAUUUUUAUCAGUUGAUAGUAAGAUCAAAUUAAAUAAAUAAAAUACUACAAAUUUUAUAUGUGUAUGACUUUU
rnacentral:lncRNA from 1 species